CUCUUCGGGGAUGAUUAAACCGGCGCACGGGUGAGUAACACGUGAGUGACCUGCCUUUUAGACUGGAACAACUUACCGAAAGGUGAGCUAAUGCCGGAUGAGUUAUAUAAGUGCAUGUUUAUAUAGGAAAAGUUGGGGAGACCUGACGCUGAAAGAUGGACUCGCGUCCCAUUAGCUAGUUGGUAGGGUAAUGGCCUACCAAGGCGACGAUGGGUAGCCGGCCUGAGAGGGUGGCCGGCCACACUGGGACUGAGACACGGCCCAGACUCCUACGGGAGGCAGCAGUGGGGAAUUUUGCGCAAUGCUCGUAAGAGUGACGCAGCGACGCCGCGUGAAUGACGAAGGCCUUCGGGUCGUAAAGUUCUUUCGACAGGGAAGAAAAUGCCUAUAAGUAACUGUGUAUGUAUUGACGGUACCUGUAUAAGCAGCCCCGGCUAACUCCGUGCCAGCAGCCGCGGUAAUACGGAGGGGGCGAGCGUUGUUCGGAGUGACUGGGCGUAAGGAGCACGUAGGCGGUGUUGUAAGUCAUUAGUCAAAGACUAGAGCUCAACUUAAGUAAGGCUAGUGAUACUAUAAUACUAGAGUAUCAGAGAGGAUUGCAGAAUUCCUGGUGUAGCGGUGAAAUGCGUAGAUAUCAGGAGGAAUACCGUUAGCGAAGGCGGCAAUCUGGCUGGAAACUGACGCUGAGGUGCGAAAGCGUGGGUAGCAAACAGGAUUAGAUACCCUGGUAGUCCACGCUGUAAACGAUGGAUGCUAGGUGUUGGGCUUU
rnacentral:rRNA from 1 species